AUGAGAAGAGGUAGAGGACGAGAGAGAAAGGAAGAAAAAGAAAGUUUAGGAAACUGGAGAAGAAAUCGAUGAACAACUCUUGCACUGAACAGGGAUGGUUCCAAUAUCUUCAUAAAAAGAACACGUAGAAGACUCUGCUGCUGCUACCAACACAGAAAGAUAUUCUUUCAGGUCCUGCAUAGCUGUGAAAUUAUUGACAUCAGCCUGUCUGAAGGACCCCACUGACGCCAGUUGGUCUGAAGGAUCCCAGAGAAGCUGACUCACCAAAAAAUGCAGUUUCCACAUCUUGAUGAUUUCAUCCCCUGUAUCCCAACCAAUCAACGACCUCAAUUUUCCAGCCCCUUACCUUCCACAAUCCCCUUAAAACUUAAAAUACCAGCCCAUAACUCCUCAGGGGAAAUGGAUUUGAGGGUCUCCUCCCAUGUCCUCACUCAAUGCUCUGCAAUCAUUAAACUCUUUCUCUGCUGCAAA